rnacentral:lncRNA from 1 species
CACCAGCGGCACGAUCCAGCAAUUGGUUCUUGCUGCUGAUGAAUACUAAAGAGUCCUUGGCGAUCCUGCAUGCAGUUGUGCUAGAGAGCAUCAAAGUGGCCUCAAGAAGGAGAUAUUUGUGGAAGAAGCCAUUCACAAGUAAAGAGAAGUGCCAGGGAAAGGAGCUUUCAGACCGGCUGCUGUGGGAGAUUCUUCUUGAGCUGUCGAAAAUGGCAUCACUUUCUGAGGUGUAGGUUUUACCUGCAACAAUAUAGAGCCAAAUGUACAUGAAGAUUGUUUUGCAAGACGUAUGGGAUCCUUACAUUUUCAUUAAAGCUAUUCACCUUGUGCUUACUAAUGGAUGAUGAUAUUUACCAGUCUAUGUAUAUAUGUCUGUAUAUGUUUGUUCGAGCAAGACUUUGAUGGCCAUUAGAGAUCAGCAGUGUGGUACAGGGGUGAUUUUGGCCAUGGAAAUAGAGGCAAAGCUCCUGCAAGCUGUCUUGAAGUUGAGACAAACUUCAAUCUAUUCAUCCCCUGUCAGAACAUAUGAGGAUUCAUGUGAUGGG